UGCACUCACUACUGUAAGUCACUCUGGAUAAGAGUGUCUGAUAAAUGAAGAAAA
rfam:Salmo salar isolate Sally breed double haploid chromosome ssa15, whole genome shotgun sequence.